UACAGAGGUCUCGAGCGUUAGGCGGAAUCACUGGGCUUAAAGCGUGUGUAGGCGGGUCGUUAAGUACCUUGUGAAAUCCCAUGGCUCAACCAUGGAACUGCUGGGUAUACUGGCGAUCUUGUGCAACCUAGGGGCGAGCGGAACAGAUGGUGGAGCGGUGAAAUGCGUAGAUAUCAUCUGGAACGCCAAUGGUGAAAACAGCUCGCUGGGGGUUUGCAGACGCUGAGACACGAAAGCCAGGGGGAGCGAACGGG
rnacentral:rRNA from 1 species